GGCAUGUUCUCAUUGGAGAAAAUGAGGGCAAUUAAUGGUUAGUGUUCAAGAACAACAAAGCUCUUUCAGUUGCUUAGCAACUGAAGCUAAGGGGUGGGCAGACACUGUGUGAACAGUGGGGAAGAGAGAAGCAGGGAGGAGUGUAAAAAUGAAUUUAACGUCCGGCUCAUUCCCAGGACAGGGUCUCCAAGGCUGCCGGGUGUCUUGAAAAACGUCUCACGAUGUGUGCGUUGGAUGCUCUUGGGGGUCACUGGAACUGGUGACUGAAAAAAGAAAAAAGAAAAAACAGAAGUGAAGUCAUAUUGUUUCUGAUCUCUGAGUAGAAAGGCAGCCCUUUCUUGACCUGUGUGUUAGGAUCCCAAGGCAGGCGUUCCUUCUUCUUUGCUUUCUUAUCACACUUACCCCGUUUGUCUCCCCUGCUUACCACAACUGAAAAUUAAAUUCAUAUUUGUUGUUUUGGGUGCAGAAAGGCAGUCUACCAAAGAGGUAUCUUUGGUAUCUGGAGCCAGGGACUGGGCUCUGCCACUGUGGACAAGUUACUUAAGCAACCUGUCCCUCAGUUUCUUCCUCCAUCCAACGGCGAUGGUAAAAUUACUGACUUCACAAGGUUGUAGGAAUUAAAUAAGAUAAUUGUAAAGCACUUUAGAGCAUGUGAGGCCAACAUGGUUUGUGUGUUGGCUCUUUCUCUUUACUUGCUAAUAUUUAUCCCCUAAUGUUAAAUGUUAAAUAUUUAUUCCCUUAAUGUGCCAUAAAAUGGCAGGGACCAUUAUCUUGUUCACUGGUUCACUGCUCUAUCUUCACUGCCUAGAUCGGUGCCUGGCACAUGGUGAUAGAAAAUUCUAUGUUAUGCUAUAAUCAUCUUGUUUCAAACCUAACAUGUUCAUUUCAAUGUCUCGCAAACUUUUGAGCCUCUGAAUAACUUGUCUAAAAUAUUUUUGGCUAAACAUAAUUCUUUGUCUGGGAGAGUAAGUAAUCACUGUGAACAACCUAAUGUGUAAUAGGAAUUCAACGAAUACUUGAACUACAAAUGGAGGUUGGGGGACA
rnacentral:lncRNA from 1 species